GUCAGUUUGUCCGAGUGGUUAAGGAGGCGGACUCGAAAUCCGCUGGGUUUACCCGCACAGGUUCAAAUCCUGUAGCUGACG
rfam:Paramecium tetraurelia chromosome undetermined scaffold_40, whole genome shotgun sequence.